CUCUCUCUUAACUGCUGCGUGGUUGAGAGUGGUAGUGUGCGGUACUUCGGUCCUCGUACUCUCUGGUUCAAUCCCCGCCGGAAACUGAAUGAUGACGCUUCGGCCCAUCCUCUACAGAUUGUGCAUGUUAGGUGUGCUUCGGCCCCG
ensembl:ncRNA C14F11.14 ncRNA